GGAUGUGAGGGCAAUCUGGCUGCGACAUCUGUCACCCCAUUGAUCGCCAGGGUUGAUUCGGCUGAUCUGGCUGGCUAGGCGGGUGUCCCCUUCCUCCCUCACCGCUGCUCCCUCCCGAAGCUGUGCACGGUCGUAGAGGGCGACCGUUCUUCGGUAUACAAGUAGCUGCGCUCCCCUGCUAGAACCUCCAAACAAGCUCUCAAAAUACAUAAUUUUAGUAUCUUAAUAGUAUUAUAGGAUUCUAUAAAAAGAAAAUUGUUACAGACUAACAGUGUAGUGUGUAUUACU
rfam:Canis lupus familiaris chromosome 15, whole genome shotgun sequence.